rnacentral:rRNA from 1 species
GACGAACGCUGGCGGCGUGCUUAACACAUGCAAGUCGAACGAUGAAGAAGAGAAACGCGAACUUCGGUUCAAAUUUCACUUCGGAUUAGUGGCAGACGGGUGAGUAACGCGUGAGCAACCUACCUCUUACAAAGGGAUAGCCUCGGGAAACCGUGAUUAAUACCAUAUGACACAUUCAUAAGGCAUCUUAAGAAUGUUAAAGCUACGGCGGUAAGAGAUGGGCUCGCGUCCCAUUAGCUAGUUGGUGAGGUAACGGCCCACCAAGGCGACGAUGGGUAACCGGACUGAGAGAGUGAACGGUCACAUUGGAACUGAGACACGGUCCAAACUCCUACGGGAGGCAGCAGUGGGGAAUAUUGCACAAUGGAGGGAACUCUGAUGCAGCGACGCCGCGUGAGCGAUGAAGGAAUUCGUUUCGUAAAGCUCUGUUCUAUGGGAAGAAAAGGACGGUACCAUAGGAGAAAGCCCCGGCUAAAUACGUG